GGAGAGAUGGCUGAGUGGUCGAAAGCGCCCGCCUGCUAAGUGGGUAAGGGGUGUUGAGCUCCUUCUCGGGUUCGAAUCCCGAUCUCUCCGCCA
rnacentral:tRNA from 5 species